rnacentral:misc_RNA from 1 species
UUUCCGUAGGUGAACCUGCGGAGGGAUCAUUACUGAGUGAGGGCCUCCCCGGCCCGACCUCCAACCCUUUGUGAACACAACUUGUUGCUUCGGGGGCGACCCUGCCGUUUCGACGGCGAGCGCCCCCGGAGGCCUUCAAACACUGCAUCUUUGCGUCGGAGUUUAAGUAAAUUAAACAAAACUUUCAACAGCGUAUCUCUUGGUUCUGGCAUCGGUGAAGAACGCAGC